GUUCUAAGCAGCUGAAGGAUGCAGCUGGGCAGACCCAGACAGAUGUGAAACACAAAAUGAAGUCUCAUUUGGCUUGAAAGCGUCUUAUAAAAACAGUAACAUUAUUACUGAGGUUUCUAUUUAAGAUGGGUGAUGCUCUGUUCUCAGACCUCACAUAGCCAAUGAACAAUUUCUCAAGCCAGUGAAGAAAUGAUUCAUUUCAUUUUUGCAGGUUACUCUACACCUAGUCGAUUGAGCGAUGGCACAUCUCCGAUUUCAGGACAGCAGGUGUUUCAACUUUUUUCUGAUGCCUUGAAAGUCUCCUGGACGCCCACAUCAGGGCCACCUAUGCUGCUGGCAGGGAACCCAUCAACAGGUAAGUCACUCCCUGUCCUUCCACAGACACACUACACAACUCUGGAAACAAUUCUCUUCCUUAGGACAUGCAUCCUCUGCACCCAUUUGAUCAAUCAUCUUCUUCAAAAGUAAUGCAGCAGAACUGAGUGUGGAGAUUCCAGGGUCUCCAGAAAAGGUAUGGUAGCUACUUGGUCGUGCAUCCAGCAAGAAAAAUGAAUUAACUAAGGGAAAGUUAAUUUUCCCAAGGUAGCACUUGAGUAUUUGAAUUCAGUUAAGUUUUUUUAAGUCCUUGACAUAAACACAUUGAUUUUCUUUUUUCUUUUAUAGAAAUAUUGAACCACGGAAAAUAAUUAUAGCAAUUCCAAAGUACUAGGACUAUCACAUUGCUCAAAUUCAAGUGGCCAAUUAGGUAGUGGCCCAAUUAGGUAGCUCCUCCACCCAACCACACACUCAGUGUAAGUAAAUGGUUCUCUUACAGGGGUUCCAAAAAUAACGUAGGUUAGACUGAUUUCUUAAAACCUGAAACUUAAAGAGGAAAUUUAUUUACAGAUCAAGUGUCCUCUUAGGGAGAAGCAGAGGUGACACAAUUUUGGACUACGUAAAAAGCAAAAGCUUCUGUCAAAGAUGCCCUUUUAAAGACUGUUUUGUUUUUAAGCAUUCUUUUGAAUAAACACAGCAGAGUCUAGAGCUGCUUUCGAGUUUUGUAUGUACGUUCGGAUGGGCCUUUGCUACCUUUCUCAGGCUGGUCAUGCGGGAUAGAUUUUUAAACUGGUGUUGUACUAGUUAUCGUUUUGACUUAACUCCACAUUCACGGUCAUUAAAACGGAACAAAACAAACCAGAAGAGGAUCAGGUCAUCCACCCAAGCAGGGUUCUUUGAAAAGAAGCAAGUGUGAAAAAUAUUAAGCCUUGUAGUAGAACUUUUUUUUUUCUUUCUUUCUCGGAUGGACUGUCAAUCUCUUCAAAAUCGAGUCCUUGCCUUUGUGCUUCGGGAAGAGACGCACACCACACCAAGACCCGGGGGAUGCGGUUCAGCCAGGGUUUACGGAAAGCGGCGGGCAGUCAGAGCUCGCGACGUGACGACUCCCGCGUCCACCUUCUCCACCCCUGGCCUGGACUGCGCGCCCAAGGCUCUCGACACCCAAGCACUCACAGGAGCCAAUGGGAACCCUGGAGGGAUUCCAUCCAGGCGGGAUCGGCGGCGCUAGGUGAGGGCGAGUAGGAGGCGACUUAGCAGGCGGGGCACAUGCUGCCGAAGGCAGGGGUCCCCUCGGACCAGGCACUCGCCGCCCGCCUAGCGUCACUCCUCAGGGAAACCGUGGUAGCCAACAAGCUUGGGGCUGCUCGAGUUUCCAAAGACCUCUGGAUCCUGUAGUCCUCCACGCUAGCUUCCAAAGAGCGCUGCUGUCCCGGCUCGCUCCCGGGUGCAAGACCUCAACUGUUGGAGCAAAACCCUCCGUGAAAGAGAGACCCAUGAAAAAGUGCUCAACAUUGCUCGGCAUCAGG